UGGGUUUUUCAUUUGCGUUUCACAAAAGAGGUUUAAACCCCGAGGGGGUUUAAAUGCGUCAUAAAACGUCAUGAAACGUCAUAUUUUUUAGUCUGCUCUUAGAUGUGGUUUAAACCAUGGUUUAAUUUUACGAGCAUGCGCACUUGAGGAGUUUGUGAAAAAUCCGUGAAGCGAAGAAAAUUCUUCUUGCGGUCCUGGACCUGACAAGUGGUCUUCUUGAUUAGAAAUUCAAUUACAUCGGCAUCAGAGGUACCAUACAGUGUAGGUCUCUAUGGAUUAUCUCCAUCUUCUUCACAGCUUUAAAUUACUAAGAGCUACCUUUCCCAAGACAUUGUGGGCUACAUGAUGCUAAAAAUCCAUCGAAAUCGUACAAGGAUGGGCCAUCUCGAGAUCAGUAUCGACUGUCAAAAGAAACCAUCACCAAUAUGCUGGAAGCCGAAAUGAAGAGGGACACACAGCUCAGAGGAUAGAUCAACUUCCUGUUUAUUUGCAGGUGUUGACAACUCUCCAUUUUUAUGCAGUGGGAUCAUUUUAAAAGAUGCAUGGUGAUGAGGCAGCAAUAUCGCAGUCAUCAAUGUGUCAGAAGCUGAAGCAAGAAGGAAGAGGCAAUACAUGAAGAUUCCUACAAGAGAAGAAGUUGAAGCAACUCGGAGACAGUUCUAUCUGACUGUUAGAUUUCCAGGAGUGAAAGGUGCAAUUGAUGGGACACAUGUCUACAUCAAGAG